rnacentral:rRNA from 1 species
AAUCUUGCGCAAUGGGCGAAAGCCUGACGCAGCGACGCCGCGUGAGUGAAGAAGGCCUUCGGGUUGUAAAGCUCUGUCCUUGGGGAAGAAGGGUGCAUUAUAGCAUCUUGACGGUACCCGAGGAGGAAGCCCCGGCUAACUACGUGCCAGCAGCCGCGGUAAUACGUAGGGGGCAAGCGUUGUCCGGAAUUAUUGGGCGUAAAGGGUGCGUAGGCGGCCUUUUAAGUCAGGUGUGAAAGCCCACGGCUUAACCGUGGGAUUGCAUUUGAAACUGGAAGGCUUGAGUAUCGGAGAGGGUAGUGGAAUUCCCAGUGUAGCGGUGAAAUGCGUAGAUAUUGGGAGGAACACCAGUGGCGAAGGCGACUACCUGGACGAAAACUGACGCUGAUGCACGAAAGCUAGGGGAGCAAAC